rnacentral:tRNA from 1 species
GCUAAUGUGGCUCAGUUGGUAGAGCAGUUGAUUCGUAAUCAACAGGUCGGGGGUUCGAGUCCCCCCAUUAGCUCCA